rnacentral:tRNA from 1 species
GCCAGAAUGGUGGAAUGGCAGACACGCUACGUUCAGAACGUAGUCUUCGUUAAGAGGGUGGGGGUUCAACUCCCCCUUCUGGCA